GUAAGUCUUUGAGGACGGGAGCCUUUAGGCAGUCACAAGGUUUCACUGUGGAAACAGUGAUAUUAUUGGAAGCCAUUGAAAGCCAUGCUGAAACCUGGGCUGUCUUGGCCUCUUAAGGCCUUAUUGGGUCACCUUAUUCUGCUGACCCUAACCCUGACUCCUGCUGAUACAGCUUUACUAUGUCAAGAGUCUCUGGUUAUUCUUCCCAGCUAUCAGGACCUUGAGUGUCACCAAUCCGUUUGACAUUUCUUGAACUUCAGAGACCAGAAUGCAGAAUUCCUAUCUCAUUUCAACCAGGUAAACAUUAUCAUGAAAACUGCCUAAAGGCAGGUAGUUGCUGAGUAAGGAACGAAUUGACCCUCAUGAUAUAUAAAUGGAAAAACUGGCCCUUCAAUCACAAGGACUUCACUGAACUUGGGCAGUUAAUGAUCAGUAAUAGCCAUGCAUACAAAUGCACAUGGCUCCAGGAAAGUAACACGUUGGAGAAUAUUUAAACUUGCCUUUUCUACUAAUCCACAGAUAAUCUGUUUUUAAAUUCUUUCUAAUUACAGUUUACACCGGACUGAAGACUUCUCUAUACAGCAAAUUCCAUAAAUGCAAUAAUUGUCCAUAUUUUGCUUAGCAGUGUGUUCUAAACAAGUAAUUACGUCUGGCAGAAAAUAAAUAUUUUCUUUCUUCUUCUUUUUUUUUUUUUUCUUCUUUUUGAGAUGCUGUAGUGCAGUGGCGCGAUCUCGGCUCACUGCAAGCUCCGCCUCCCGGGUUCACGCCAUUCUCCUGACUCAGUCUUCCGAGUAGCUGGGACUACAGGCGCCCGCCACCAAGCCCGGCUAAUUUUUUAUAUUUUUAGUAGAGACGGGGUUUCACUGUGUUAGCCAGCAUGGUCUCUAUCUCCUGACCUCAUGAUCCCCCUGCCUUAGCCUCCC
rnacentral:lncRNA from 10 species